GCUGUCACAUCCCUGCCAAUCUCCGGCAGACUCUCCCUCCCAGACCCUCCUACUUCCUGGACAGCAUCCAUGUUGAAGGCAGCUUCAACAUGGAUGCUGUCCAGGAGGUGGGAGGGUCUUGGAGGGAGGGUCUGCCGGAGAUUGGCAGGGAUGUGUCAG